AACCCAUGAUGAGGCCACCUUCUUAAGAAGUCUUUGUAUCUCUCUCAUGCAUCAUAUAACGUCUCUAAAUCGAUCUGCACAAAGGAAGAGAUGUCAUUACUCAACUU
rfam:Gossypium raimondii chromosome 10, whole genome shotgun sequence.